rnacentral:miRNA from 1 species
GGAGAAGCACGGUGUAGGGUGGG